GGAGAGGUGCCGGAGUGGUCGAACGGGCUCGCCUGGAAAGCGUGUGUGCCUUGAAAAAGGUACCGAGGGUUCGAAUCCCUCCCUCUCCG
rnacentral:tRNA from 1 species